rnacentral:tRNA from 1 species
UCUUCAAUAGCUUAGUUGGUAAAGUGUUCGUCUAGCAAACAAGCAUCGUGAGAUUGAAUCUCUUUGGAAAAA